GCCGGAGUGGCGGAAUUGGUAGACGCGGCGGACUCAAAAUCCGCUGUCCCUUGAGGACAUGGGGGUUCGACUCCCCCCUUCGGCA
rnacentral:tRNA from 1 species